rnacentral:rRNA from 1 species
GACGAACCGUACAAACGUUAUUCGGAAUCACUGGGCUUAAAGGGUGCGUAGGCGGCGCUGUAAGUUGGGUGUGAAAUCCCUCGGCUCAACCGAGGAACUGCGCCCAAAACUACAGUGCUUGAGGGAGAUAGAGGUGAGCGGAACUUAGGGUGGAGCGGUGAAAUGCGUUGAUAUCCUAAGGAACGCCAGGGGCGAAAGCGGCUCACUGGGUCUCUUCUGACGCUGAGGCACGAAAGCUAGGGUAGCGAACGGGAUUAGAUACCCCGGUAGUCCUAGCCGUAAACGAUGAGCACUAGAUGGAAGGGCCCUCCAUAGCCUUUCCAUCGAAGCGAAAGUAAUUAGUGCUCCGCCUGGGGAGUAUGGUCGCAAGGCUG